UUUAUUUGUUCAUGUUCAGUUUGGCGCAGUGGUGACACUUUCCAUCGGACCAUCAAUAACUUCUACAACAUAAUUCCUCUUACCAGGAUUGCCAACUCCAGGGGGUUGCGGGGAAGCUAUCAUAGACAUGCUAUCUAUAGAACUGGAUUGUUGCUACAAUACCUUGCAAGUAGCUGCAGUCUCUCACUUAUACAGUUUAAUCUCAGGGCUUGAAGUACACUGAUGGUAGGAUCUGGUAUUGAGGUGGUGCACGCGAGUGCCAUGGAUUUGUGAUUGUGCCUUGCCACUUAGGAACCGGCAGUGUCUAUUUGCUAAUUAGGAGUGAUGUUUUUUUCUUGAUUUUGUGAUGAACUAGGAAGAUGAAUGCUAUACCGUGGACUCAAUGAGCCAUGGAAUUUGUGUGUUACUUCAAAUUAGUCAUCAGCAUUCACGUUUAUGAGUAUAUGACAUGUGAGUGCCUUUGAUUUCA